rnacentral:sRNA from 12 species
CGCCGACGUCCAAUUGGGGACGUUGAAGGGCCAAAUGGGGCCAGAGAU